UACGGAGGGGGCUAGCGCUGUUCGGAAUUACUGGGCGUAAAGCGUACGUAGGCGGCUUUGUAAGUUAGAGGUGAAAGCCCGGGGCUCAACUCCGGAAUUGCCUUUAAGACUGCAUCGCUUGAAUCAUGGAGAGGUGAGUGGAAUUCCGAGUGUAGAGGUGAAAUUCGUAGAUAUUCGGAAGAACACCAGUGGCGAAGGCGACUCACUGGACAUGUAUUGACGCUGAGGUACGAAAGCGUGGGGAGCAAACAGG
rnacentral:rRNA from 1 species